UACGAAGGGGGCUAGCGUUGCUCGGAAUCACUGGGCGUAAAGCGCACGUAGGCGGAUUGCUAAGUCAGGGGUGAAAUCCUGGAGCUCAACUCCAGAACUGCCCUUGAUACUGGCGGUCUCGAGUCCGGGAGAGGUGAGUGGAACUGCGAGUGUAGAGGUGAAAUUCGUAGAUAUUAGGAAGAACACCAGUGGCGAAGGCGGCUCACUGGAUCGGUACUGACGCUGAGGUGCGAAAGCGUGGGGAGCAAACAGG
rnacentral:rRNA from 1 species